rnacentral:rRNA from 1 species
GUCCUGAAGGAACGUUGAAGACGACGACGUUGAUAGGCCGGGUGUGUAAGCGCAGCGAUGCGUUGAGCUAACCGGUACUAAUGAACCGUGAGGCUUAACCUUACAACGCCGAAGSUGUU